rnacentral:lncRNA from 1 species
UUGCAUUUUUCUAAUGAUUUGGUGCUGAACAUUUUUUCAUAUACCUAUUGGCCAGUUGUAUGUCUUCUUUUGAGAAAUGUCUAUAGGUUUUGAAAUAUACAUUUUUAUAUUAAAUACCUCAUAUGUAGUAGUUAUUUUAAAUAAUUGAGUAAACAGAACCAUAGAUUUUAUUUUAUGAAAUCAAAUCAAGACUCUAUACCUUAGAAGAAUGAUCUAGGAAAUAUGGAACUAAAAUCUUAUACAGUUCAUUGGAAGUGUUCUGUAAAAGAUUAAUCCUAAAGCACAGAAGGAAGUAUAACGAAUUUAUGUUGCACUUGAAACAGUUGUUUAUUAACAAUAGAAAUUACAUGUGAAUAUAAGGGAACUAUUCUCUACUCAAAGAGUACCUAUUUUGCCUUCCUGUACCCAGAUGUCAGUCUUAGAGUUUUUAUGGAGUGCCCACAUGUUAUAUAACACAGUACUUGAUUUUGCAAAUGUAAGGAGGAAUAUGUUUGUUAAAGGCAUAAAUAGGCCACAUGGGAAAUAUAAAAUGAUCAUUAACUUUAACACUGCUUUUUACUAAAGAAUUUCUUCAAAUACUAUAGAUUCUAUUUAUAAAAGAAAGGAUACUUAUAUAGGGUAGUUUAAAGUGAAGUUGGAAGUAGAUUGAGAUUUUUCUGUACUGUACCUUAUUGCAAUUGCAUGUUUAUUGUUUGAUUAGGAAUAGCAAAGUAUAUUUGUGGCAUUUUGUUCAUGCAGCAAAUUAGACCUUUUCAAGUUAUUCCAGGACCAUGUGUUCACUGGUGGUCUCAAUUCAGCUGGCAGUAGCAAUUUCGGUUACUAAGUGAUGUGUACAUAUUCCCUCAUUGAAUGAAUCUCUAGAGUACACAUUGAUUGCAUAUUAAAUCUGAUGCCAAAAGCACAUGAGUUUCCUUGUCUGUUACGUCACUAUUUGGAGAGUGCUGAAAAAGAAGAUACUAGGAAGUAUCCUCCUAGAAAAGCCCUACGAUGGAAAAGUGAAUUCCAAAGAUUGCAGUAUAACAUGUAGGUGUUCCCAUUUAAAAAAAAUUGUUUCUAUUCUUGGUAU